rnacentral:lncRNA from 1 species
UGGUUUUUGAACUAAAGUUGCUCACAGUUAUUUAACAAGGGAUACAUCAGAUUUUUUUGUCCAUUUUAAACCAUUAAAUAAUGUCAGUUUGUGUCUGUAUAUGUGUGUGUGCGCGCGUGUGUGUCUUCAAAGUACAAAAUAGGAAGGAUAACAAGAGGUAUUGCUUUCAUUUAUUCUUAUAUCUUGUGUAAGUAAUCCCCUUCCUGCUUGUACCACAUGGGUUUUGCUGAUAUAGGUAUUUUUAAAUUAUUAUUAUUUUGUAUUGAAAUCCCAGCCUUUUGUAGAGGUACAAUGUAACAGAAGCAUCAAAAUCUGUACACAAGGGAAGAGAAAAGAGGGAAAAGAAGGAUGGGGGUGAUGGGAGGGGAGCUCGGAGGAGAAGUAGAGAGAGGGUGGAGGCAGGAAAGACAACGAAAGCAAAAGAGACUAAUUUACAGCAAUGUCAUGCAAUUAAAACUGCCCCCCUCUCCUGCACCCUUGCCUCCCCCCCUCCCCAGCCAUCACCCCCAGGUGUCUGACAUGCACACAGCAAUACGAGAGAGAAAAGUUUUAAGAAUAGGGAAAAUAAAUAAAUAAAUAAACCAAUAAAAUAAAAUAAAUCCCUCCCAUUUGGGGGAAUGGGGAAACGGGGCAGAAGUCAAAGGUCUUUGCCCCAGUUGUGUCUUUAAAAAUUCUUUUUAAUCUUCAAACCUAUGUACAAGUAAAACUGGUCCAAGAAGGGGAAAAACGGUUAAAAAAACCAACAACAACAACAACAACGAAAAAGAACUCAUCCAACAGUAUCAUUAAAAAAAAAAUAUUUUGCGAUACAACAUACACCCAUAGGAACCCAACGAGCAGCAAUCGAAGGUCAUAAAAGAGCUGAACACUAAUGCUAAGCCUACAUUCUUAAAAUCUCAGUCAAGAAGUACUUCUCACUGUGUUUUGUCUUCCACGCGUAAAACCACAUUGGUUUUGUUUGUUUAACCUUUGAGCUUGGGCCAGAAUAAGUUACACUUGGUCCCCAUCCACCCAAUCCCACCCUCCUCCCUUUCAAAAAAACAAACACAACAAACCAAAACAAACCAAAAACAAACUAAAACCAAAACCAAACAAAACUUUAUAAAAAUAUCUUGC